rnacentral:RNase_P_RNA from 1 species
CCUGCCGGAUGGGCAGUCGCCUGGUACUCCGGGUUGCAAGAUCUGGUACUGCCGGGAGGAAAGUCCGGUCUCCACAGGGCAGCAUGCCGGCUAACGGCCGGGGGGGUUCGCUCAAAGCGGACUUUACGGAAAGUGCCACAGAAAAUAUACCGCCAGCCGCCUUGUGCGGCGGGUAAGGGUGAAAAGGUGCGGUAAGAG